GACGAACGCUGGCGGCGUGCCUAAUACAUGCAAGUCGAACGGUCUUUUCUAUGGAAGCUUGCUUCCGCUGAGAAGAUAGUGGCGAACGGGUGAGUAACACGUGGGUAACCUGCCCAUAAGAGGGGGAUAACAUCCGGAAACGGGUGCUAAUACCGCAUAGUUUUCUUGAUCGCAUGAUUGAGAAAGGAAAGACGGCCUUUGUGCUGUCGCUUAUGGAUGGAACCGCGGCGUAUUAGUUAGUUGGGGAGGUAACGGCUCACCAAGACGAUGAUACGUAGCCGACCUGAGAGGGUGAUCGGCCACACUGGGACUGAGACACGGCCCAAACUCCUACGGGAGGCAGCAGUAGGGAAUCUUCCGCAAUGGGCGAAAGUCUGACGGAGCAACGCCGCGUGAGUGAAGAAGGUUUUCGGAUCGUAAAACUCUGUUGUCAGAGAAGAACAAGUCGGAGAGUAACUGCUCCGGCCUUGACGGUAUCUGACCAGAAAGCCACGGCUAACUACGUGCCAGCCGCCGCAGUAACAC
rnacentral:rRNA from 1 species